rnacentral:rRNA from 1 species
GGGCCCGCACAAGCGGUGGAGCAUGUGGUUCAAUUCGACGCAACGCGAAGAACCUUACCUGGGCUAGACAACAGCGGACCGUCCUAGAAAUAGGAUUUUCCCUUCGGGGACCGCUGGUUCAGGUGCUGCAUGGCUGUCGUCAGCUCGUGCCGUGAGGUGUUGGGUUAAGUCCCGCAACGAGCGCAACCCUCGUACUUAGUUGCCACCAUUCAGUUGGGCACUCUAAGUAGACUGCCGGCGUUAAGCCGGAGGAAGGUGGGGACGACGUCAAGUCAUCAUGGCCCUUAUGUCCAGGGCCACACACGUGCUACAAUGGGCGGUACAAAGGGUCGCUAACCUGCGAAGGGGAGCUAAUCCCAAAAAGCCGCUCUCAGUUCGGAUUGGAGUCUGCAACUCGACUCCAUGAAGCUGGAAUCGCUAGUAAUCGCGGAUCAGCACGCCGCGGUGAAUACGUUCCCGGGCCUU